rnacentral:lncRNA from 1 species
GGACUCUUAUCUCCGUUACAGAAACCAUAUUUCAUCCCUUACCACGCCGACAGCAGAGUAGGUCAGAGAAACAAACCAAAGUGCCCAGCAGGUGGAGCCCCACAGCCGCCUCGAACAGCAGCGGAACCCAGCGCGAUCGCCAGAGGGCUCCGAGCUCCGAGCUCAAGGGGCAGGACGUGGAAAACCACCCGGAGUUGUCCAACCAGGGGGGUCUCCGUGCGGGGGGGAGGGGGGGAGGGAGGAGAAAGCGAGGGGGGGCGGAUCGGACAGCUCUCGGAGCAGCACCAGAGGUUGCCGGGCUCUUCCCCGCCCGCCAAGUCACGGGCAGGCUCGAGCUACGAAACCGAAAGUACGAACAGAAACCGAGGAAGGGCCGUGGAAAGAUCGCUUGGAUCCCAUCCUCUCUCCAGGGCAGAAGGCGACCUGGAGGCAGGAGGAGGAGAAUCUCUCUCUGUCUCUCUGUCUCCCCCCGCCCCCCCGUCGGAGGUCCAGGCUUCCGUUCAAGGCAGAAUUCUUCUUGACACUGCCCGCCUUCUCUCGAAGAGGCCGAAACCUCCCUAGAUCCACUUUCCCGUACAUCCUACAUAGACCUCUUUACAAGCCACCUUUCUAUCUCGAAUGGAUUCUUUCUACAAGGUCCGAAGCAGGGGCAGAAGGGUGGGCGGAGGAAGCGGGAGGCCAGAGGAAGAGCGAAAGAGCGCGAGAUCGGUGGCGGUGGCCGGGGGUCAGGGGCCGGGAGAUGAGGCGAGGGA